AUGAGUGAACCAUGUUGGCAUAUAAAUGAUAGAAAGAAGCCACUGGAAAGGGAAACAGGAUUUUUAACAAUUUUCCCUCUUCCUUUUCUCAUAACCAAUAAGAAUGAACAUUUAAAAAAUUCUCAUUGUCAUACUUUGCCUUGUGAAGGAUUGUGUGAAAACAUUUUCAGCCUCAAGUACCACCUCCCAGCUGCAAAGAACUGGUGGGAUCACAAACCUGCAAAAGUAUUGGAAAAUGAGCAUGCAAAGAUACUGUGGGACUUCCGAAUCCAGACUGACAAAGUUCUGGAACACAACACACCAGACAUCACAAUUGUGGAAAAGAAAAAGGUUUGGAUCAUUGAUGUUGCCAUCCCAGGUGACAGUCACAUUGACGAAAAACAACAGGAAAAACUCAGCCGCUAUCAGGACCUCAAGAUUGAACUUCAAAGACUCUGGCAGAAACCAGUGCAGGUGGUUCCAGUGGUGAUCGGCACAUUGGGUGCCAUGCCAAAAGAUCUCAGCCGGCAUUUGGAAACAAUAGACAUUGACAAAAUUACGAUCUGCCAACUGCAAAAGGCCACCCUACUGGGAUCUGCAUGCAUCAUCCGAAAAUACAUCACACAGUCCUAGACACUUGGGAAGUGUUCGACUUGUGAUUUUGUGAAACGAAAUCCAGCAUAUCUAUCUUGUUUGCU
rnacentral:lncRNA from 11 species